AAUACAUCAAUACAUCAACUUCAUUGCCCUAAAAACACUAAAGUAAACCACAUUGGGGCCACAUAAAACACAUCAACACUUCAACGAAAACACACACAACACAUCAACCUAAAAACCCACACAGCGUAAGUAUGUUCACUACACAACAACACACACAACAUAUGUAUGUUUACUACACUAAAAAAACACACCACUGCUACUAAUAAUUGGAUCCUUUUCUUCAAAGCUUUCACUGUGUUCUCCAUAUAAUAAAUCUUCCUCUUUUGCCUCCCAAUGACAACAUCCCUUUCAUCAACAUUCUCUUCAUUGCACCACUUGAAAUAGUUAAAACACAUCACAUUAGCAAGUCCAUUAUGUUAUUCAUAAAAAUCAAACACUUCAAACACGAUGUUAAUUACCAACACAUAAAGAAAAUAAGGUUUAAUUAAAAAUGCUUUUAUUCAUAUGACAUUGUAGUUACGACAACCCCAAAAAUAUAUUUCAGCAUUCUUUUAAGUUUUAGCCAUUUUUACUAUUGUAUCUCAUCACAAUUGCAAAUGAGGAUUAUCUCUACCCCCAUUGAACCACCAUCAUGUGAGGAAUAACAACUUCAGUGCCCCAAGCUAUUGCAACAAAAAGAAGAAGAUUGAGAAGCAAUCGUGGCUCAUCAACCACGAAGAUAUCAACCACCGAGAUUGGGAAGAAGAUUGUUUAACCUCCAACAUCACUGUGACUUUCACAGAAGAAAAGUAAAAAUCCUAAUUUGAGAAUCCACCAAUUAUGGAUUUCAUUAAAUAAAUAACAUGUAAUUCAGAAUCCACCUCACUAUACCUUAAAGUGUCCACGUCAGCCAAUAUAUGGCAUGUUAUUGACUGAUUGCACACCUGAACAUCCCACCUUAACGAUUUAAACGACGUUUGCAAAAAGAACUAAAUUGAACACAAAUUACGAUGUUUUAGAACUAUAUUGGAC
rnacentral:lncRNA from 1 species